GAUGAACGCUAGCGGCAGGCUUAACACAUGCAAGUCGAGGGGCAGCAUAAUGGUAGUAAUACUAUUGAUGGCGACCGGCGGACGGGUGCGUAACGCGUAUGCAACCUACCCUUUACAGGGGGAUAACACUGAGAAAUCGGUACUAAUACCCCAUAAUAUUCUGGGAGGCAUCUUUCGGAGUUGAAAGCUUUGGUGGUAAAGGAUGGGCAUGCGUUGUAUUAGCUAGUUGGUAAGGUAACGGCUUACCAAGGCGACGAUACAUAGGGGGACUGAGAGGUUAACCCCCCACAUUGGUACUGAGACACGGACCAAACUCCUACGGGAGGCAGCAGUGAGGAAUAUUGGUCAAUGGACGGAAGUCUGAACCAGCCAUGCCGCGUGCAGGAAGACGGCUCUAUGAGUUGUAAACUGCUUUUGUACGAGGGUAAACGCAGAUACGUGUAUCUGCCUGAAAGUAUCGUACGAAUAAGGAUCGGCUAACUCCGUGCCAGCAGCCGCGGUAAUACGGAGGAUCCAAGCGUUAUCCGGAUUUAUUGGGUUUAAAGGGUGCGUAGGCGGUUUAGUAAGUCAGCGGUGAAAUUUUGGUGCUUAACACCAAACGUGCCGUUGAUACUGCUGGGCUAGAGAGUAGUUGCGGUAGGCGGAAUGUAUGGUGUAGCGGUGAAAUGCUUAGAGAUCAUACAGAACACCGAUUGCGAAGGCAGCUUACCAAACUAUAUCUGACGUUGAGGCACGAAAGCGUGGGGAGCAAACAGGAUUAGAUACCCUGGUAGUCCACGCAGUAAACGAUGAUAGCUCGUUGUCGGCGAUACACAGUCGGUGACUAAGAGAAAUCGAUAAGCUAUCCACCUGGGGAGUACGUUCGCAAGAAUGAAACUCAAAGGAAUUGACGGGGGCCCGCACAAGCGGAGGAACAUGUGGUUUAAUUCGAUGAUACGCGAGGAACCUUACCCGGGCUUGAAAGUUACUGACGAUUCUGGAAACAGGAUUUCCCUUUGGGGCAGGAAACUAGGUGCUGCAUGGUUGUCGUCAGCUCGUGCCGUGAGGUGUCGGGUUAAGUCCCAUAACGAGCGCAACCCCUACUGAUAGUUGCCAUCAGA
rnacentral:rRNA from 1 species